AACGAACGCUGGCGGCAUGCCUAACACAUGCAAGUCGAACGAACCCUUCGGGGUUAGUGGCGCACGGGUGCGUAACGCGUGGGAAUCUGCCCUUUGCUUCGGAAUAACAGUUAGAAAUGACUGCUAAUACCGGAUGGAUUCUUCGGACCAAAGAUUUAUCGGCAAGGGAUGAGCCGGCGUAGGAUUCAGUAGAUGGUGGGGUAAAGGCCUACCAAGCCGACGAUCCUUAGCUGGUCUGAGAGAAUGACCAGCCACACUGGGACUGAGACACGGCCCAGACUCCUACGGGAGGCAGCAGUGGGGAAUAUUGGACAAUGGGCGCAAGCCUGAUCCAGCAAUGCCGCGUGAGUGAUGAAGGCCUUCGGGUCGUAAAGCUCUUUUACCAGGGAUGAUAAUGACAGUACCUGGAGAAUAAGCUCCGGCUAACUCCGUGCCAGCCGCCGCAGUAACAC
rnacentral:rRNA from 1 species